rnacentral:rRNA from 1 species
UCCAGACUCCUACGGGAGGCAGCAGUGAGGAAUAUUGGUCAAUGGGCUUACGCCUGAACCAGCCAAGUCGCGUGAGGGAAGACUGCCCUAUGGGUUGUAAACCUCUUUUGUCAGGGAGCAACGCCGGCUACGUGUAGCCGGACUGAGAGUGCCUGAAGAAAAAGCAUCGGCUAACCCCGUGCCAGCAGCCGCGGUAAUACGGAGGAUGCGAGCGUUAUCCGGAUUUACUGGGUGUAAAGGGCGCGUAGGCGGGAUGGCAAGUCAGAUGUGAAAUCCAGGGGCUCAACCCCUGAACUGCAUUUGAAACUGUCGUUCUUGAGUACUGGAGAGGUUGACGGAAUUCCUAGUGUAGCGGUGAAAUGCGUAGAUAUUAGGAGGAACACCAGUGGCGAAGGCGGUCAACUGGACAGCAACUGACGCUGAGGCGCGAAAGCGUGGGGAGCAAACAGGAUUAGAUACCCUAAUA